UGGAGAUAUUUCAGGGAGUCUAGGGAAGGACAAAAAAUUUUAAGAGGUUGGUUCAUUUAUUAGGAGAGGCUAGGAGCACUGACAAUGUUUAUUAAGAAGAAAAGGUUCAUGGGAUCUUCUCUGCAUGUAUACUAACUUGAUGAAAGGAAAAAAAGGAGACAAAACUUGACACUUGAUGGUGUUCAGUGUUAGAAAAUAAAGGCAAUACUCACAAACUGAAAUACAAAUAUAUAUACAUAUAUAUACAUAUAAUGGAGAAAUUUUAUUGUUAUCUAUUUAUUUUCUCAGAGAAGCUAUGGAAUUUUCAUGCUUGGAGAUACUUAAACCUGCCAGAAGAUGGCCCUGAGGUACACAGCUGCAUGCAUGAUUGGGACUGGAAGAUCUCCAGAGGUUCUGACCAGCUUCCGCCACUUUGUGAUACUGCAGUGCUAUGGUGACAAGUGUUGGCCUGAAUCUUGGCUGUGGAGAAACUUUCUGAAGAGGUCCACCAACUUAAAAAGAAUUUAUCUUCCUCACCACCUGUACAAACCAGUGUCUCAGCUAUCAGGGGUAAGCAUCUUUCUGUUCAAGAAAGAAGAUAUAGUGGGUACACACCCCAUGUCAUCCUGUGGUUUUAUCUACGUGAUCAUGGAAAGGACAUGAGAAAAUGGGAUGAAGACUCUACCUUGAACCUAGAGGCACAGGUACACGAGUUGCAGGGGAAAAAAUAAUGAAAAAAAAAAAAAAGGAGGUUCUCUGAGAAACUUGCUGCUACAAUUUCCAGUCGGCAGUCCUCCAAACAUAGUAAUGAAGAUUCUGACCAGGAUUAGAGGGUCACUGCCUCUGGCCAGGGGGAGGAAAGGGUCAAUCAACUUUAGUAGACUAUGUGGAUUCGAUGUCCUGGCACAUCAGACUCACAGAAGUACAAGGUUUAGUAGACAACAGUGCACAGUGUACUGUAAUGCCAUCAAGUGAUAAAGGGCCAGAACCCAUCUGUAUUUCUGGAGUGAGGGGUUGGUUCUAGCUGUUAACUGUAUUGGAGGCUUAAGUGAAUCUAACCGGGAAUGAGUGGUAAAAGCACUGUAUUGUGACUGGCCUUGAUGCUUUUUGCAUCCUUGGCAUAGAAUAUCUCAGGAGAGGAUAUUUCAAGGACCCAAAAAGGUACCAGUGAGCUUUCAGCAUAGCUGCAAGAUAGAAGACAUUAAACAGUUGUCUACCUUAACAGGUCUCUUGGAGGACCCUUCUGUUGUGGGGUGACAUAGCAGAGGAAGUUUUUGAGAAAGGGAAGAAAAUAGUCCAAAUCCUUCUGAACACUGGUUUUGUCAUUAAAAAAAAAAAUAAAAUAAAAUAAAAAAAUAUGGACCUUCCCA
rnacentral:lncRNA from 1 species